UACAUUAGAUACCCGUGUAGUCCCAGCCGUAAACUAUGCUCGCUAGGUGUCAGGCAUGGCGCGACCGUGUCUGGUGCCGCAGGGAAGCCGUGAAGCGAGCCACCUGGGAAGUACGGCCGCAAGGCUGAAACUUAAGGAAUUGGCGGGGGAGCACAACAACGGGUGGAGCCUGCGGUUUAAUUGGACUCAACGCCGGACAACUCACCGGGGACGACAGCAAUAUGUAGGCCAGGCUGAAGACCUUGCCUGAAUCGCUG
rnacentral:rRNA from 1 species